rnacentral:rRNA from 5 species
AUGCCUUACACAUGCAAGUCGAACGGUAACAGGUCUUCGGAUGCUGACGAGUGGCGAACGGGUGAGUAAUACAUCGGAACGUGCCCGAGAGUGGGGGAUAACGGAGCGAAAGCUUUGCUAAUACCGCAUACGAUCUACGGAUGAAAGCAGGGGACCGCAAGGCCUUGCGCUCAUGGAGCGGCCGAUGGCAGAUUAGGUAGUUGGUGGGAUAAAAGCUUACCAAGCCGACGAUCUGUAGCUGGUCUGAGAGGACGACCAGCCACACUGGGACUGAGACACGGCCCAG